UACAGGGGGUGCUAGCGUUGUUCGGAAUUACUGGGCGUAAAGGGCGCGUAGGCGGUCUUGUAAGUCAGGAGUGAAAUCCCGGAGCUUAACUUCGGAAUUGCUUUUGAAACUACAAGGCUAGAGUGAGUUAGAGGAUGGCGGAAUUCCUAGUGUAGUGGUGAAAUACGUAGAUAUUAGGAAGAACACCGGUGGCGAAGGCGGCCAUCUGGGACUCAACUGACGCUGAGGCGCGAAAGCGUGGGGAUCAAACAG
rnacentral:rRNA from 1 species